rnacentral:rRNA from 1 species
UACGUAGGGAGCAAGCGUUGUCCGGAAUCAUUGGGCGUAAAGCGCGCGUAGGUGGCCUCAUAAGUCCGCUGUGAAAGUCAAAGGCUCAACCUUUGAAAGCCGGUGGAUACUGUGAGGCUAGAGUACGGAAGAGGCGAGUGGAAUUCCCGGUGUAGCGGUGAAAUGCGCAGAUAUCGGGAGGAACACCAAUGGCGAAGGCAGCUCGCUGGGACGGUACUGACGCUGAGACGCGAAAGCGUGGGGAGCAAACAGG